GGUAAUGUACAGGUUUAGCUUAGAGGUCUAUAUUGUCACAAUGAAAGGUAUCGAGACUUCUGUACAGGAGAUAAUAUAUUAUAACACAAACAUAAAAUAAACCAAGCGUGACAUUAUGAAAACCGGAUAACGUCAUGACACUAACAGUCAAGAUGGUUUCCACGAGGACGUGUUGUUUUGAAGGAUUAAUAUUCAUAAUAACUUUAAUACAGUUUUCACAAGCCUUUCAAUGUUAUUCCUGUAGCUAUGUAUUCGCUGGUCAUGAUGGAACUGCUGGAUACGGCUGUGUAAAUGAUACACAAGAUUAUACCGUGAACAGGCAAAAGUUAGAAUGUAAACUACCGAAACAAUGUGUUAUUCAUGCUGUCUUCGCAGAAAGUUUUGGCACAAUGCAGUCGAUGGAUCGGGGAUGUAGAGAACCCGCAGCUGCUGACGGUUGUGUUGAUGUCUCAACAAGACCUGCUUGCGACUUCAGUUGUUCCAGUGAAUUAUGUAAUGAUAUCAAUGGUGAUUUAAGAUAUAAAUACAACGUAUUCGACAAUGAUGCUUCCAGUCCAACUUCUUCUUUAGGAUUAACUGGUUUAAUAUUUUCCACAAUUGUGACUUUAAUAUUAAAAGAAUAACGAAGUUGGAAUUAAUUUGUCUCUUUGCUUCAUAUUUGUUCGUUGUGUUACAGUACAGUAAAUAGAACAAUCCAUGAUUUGGUGUUGUCCAUUAAAUAUGUUAUUAUUAUUUGUAUAAUAUUCUUCUUUAAUCUCGUUGACAGUCAAGCCAUUAUCACAGUGAAUGUAUUAAUCUAUGAAUGUGUUCGUAUAUUGCCUUCAACCUGUUCCCUGUUUAUCGAUCACAUUUCUUGUUAGAAAAACAAAGACUUUUUUCGACAACUCUCAGAGUUGUCCCCCCCUCUUUCUUGCAAACUCUUGUUAAUGCUCGCAACCCCAUCUAGCUGUUGGUGGGCGUAAGUCAGAAGCCAGGUUGUACAACAAGGCAUGCUCAUAAAUAUUUCUUUAUUUAACCAAUGUAUAUGGCACCGUCCUAAUAAUAUAUUAAAGUAGCGUAAUCCCAGACAAUGAUUACAUUAUAUCUGUGUCACUCACUCAAUAAAACUCAAAAUAUAUUCUAAUAAUAUGAAAAAAACCCCUUCAUAUUCUUCGUCAUAUUUGGCGUUAUUGUUGUACAUAUUAAUAAUUAAUACCAAUUAAAUGUUGUAUUAUAGGUCAUGAGACAUAAUGAAAUUAAUUAAUCAGAUUUUAAAUUAAAAAUAUUCUUAUUUAUGUAUGACAUAAUAAUGAAGACGGAUCAUUUGACGAAUAUUUUAUUUGCUAUAAUUCAUUAGCAU